GAUGAACGCUGGCGGCGUGCUUAACACAUGCAAGUCGAACGGAAAGGCCCAAGCUUGCUUGGGUACUCGAGUGGCGAACGGGUGAGUAACACGUGGGUGAUCUGCCCUGCACUUCGGGAUAAGCCUGGGAAACUGGGUCUAAUACCGGAUAGGACGAUGGUUUGGAUGCCAUUGUGGAAAGUUUUUUCGGUGUGGGAUGAGCUCGCGGCCUAUCAGCUUGUUGGUGGGGUAAUGGCCUACCAAGGUGUCGACGGGUAGCCGGCCUGAGAGGGUGUACGGCCACAUUGGGACUGAGAUACGGCCCAGACUCCUACGGGAGGCAGCAGUGGGGAAUAUUGCACAAUGGGCGCAAGCCUGAUGCAGCGACGCCGCGUGGGGGAUGACGGCCUUCGGGUUGUAAACUCCUUUCGCUAGGGACGAAGCGUUUUUGUGACGGUACCUGGAGAAGAAGCACCGGCUAACUACGUG
rnacentral:rRNA from 1 species